rnacentral:rRNA from 1 species
UAAAAUUAAAAAAUUUGGCGGUAUUUUAGUCUAUUAGAGGAGUAUGUUCUAUAAUUGAUAACCCACGAUUAAUUAUACUUAUUUUAGAAAUUUAUAUAUCGUCGUAGUUUGAAUAUUUUAGGAGAAUUUAAAUGUUCAAUAAUUUUUAUAAAAAUUUAAAUCAGAUCAAGGUGUAGUUUAUAAAUAAGAAGAAAUGGAUUACAAUAAAUUUAUUUUUUGGAUUUAAUAAUGAAAUUUAUUAAUAAAAUUGGAUUUGAAAGUAAUUUUGUUAAUUUUUUCAAGAUGAUUUUAGCUCUAAAAUAUGUACAUAUUGCCCGUCGCUUUUGUUUUAAGAUGAAAUAAGUCGUAACAAAGUAGGCUUACUGGAAAGUGAGCCUAGAAAU